rnacentral:lncRNA from 1 species
UUCUUCUUCUUCUUCUUCUUCACUCCGAAUUCUCGUGUGGAGGAAUUAAAUGUGACAAUCAUUUAUGAUAUUUUGACAGGACCAAAUUGAAGCAGAUAGAGGUGGAUUUAAAAAGGUGUUGUGAGACACUGAGAGAAGAGAAUAGGAGGUUGCAAAAAGAGCUUCAGGGAUUAAGGCGUCUCAGCCAUUUUACCUGCAGCUUCCGGCCACCACCCUCCAACCAUUUUUCAUGCUUCUUCCCAGAAGACACCUUCUUGAUCAUAGCAUCGCAUCUCUCUUGCCUAUCGCUCAUUCCUGCCUUCUACAUCAGCAACUGCAACACUGAAGUCUGCCACUCUGCCUCCGUGGCUCCUCCAUGGGGCAUAUCGCUCAUUGUGUAAUUUUUCCUAAAAUAAGUUAGAGAAGUAUGAAAUGGUAAAUGAAUGUGAUUUGGUAUUUAUAAAUUGUCAAUCCGGAUGUUUUGUUUGUAGCAGUUUGUUACCACUUUUUAGUAGUGGGUUGCUGCAGUUAUUUGCUAAUUGGCGUGGGUUGUUCAUUCAAGAAACAUGGUGGUUAUGGAAUGCAGAAGGGAUAAAAAUACGAUGGAAACUUGGUAUAAUGCGGCGUGGAAAAACUGAAUAAGAAAGAGAAGAUUUAGCGGUGUAAUAGAUAUAUAGAUUUGCCCUUUGUAUGUUAUUUUAUUUUCUAAAUUGCCACAAACUGUGUUUUCAUAUAAUAUAUAGAUUAUAAUUUCCACAUAAUUUUGUAAAGAGAAAAUGUAUACUACUACUAUUUUAGAACCAAAGUAUUAACGGAUUUCAAUUAUAGGCUACACUUUGACUAUUUACAAAAAUGAAUCUCAUAAAUUACACUUGAAACAAAUCAAGAUUCGACUUAACGUUAUUUCUCACCUUAUAUCUUGAAAAAAUAAAUACAAAGGAUGUGUAGAAAAACCUCUACAGCUUAAAUAAUCAGAAAUAACUUUUUACACGCUAUUUAUAUUUUUUCAAAAAUUAAAAUUAAUAGAAAUAUAAAGUCAAUUUAAAUUUCAACCGAGAUAGAUUUAUAAGAUUCAUUUUCGUAAAUACUCGAAGUAUGUAGUUUAGAAUUCGAAAUACGAGGAUAUUUUGGAUUCCAAAUUAUAUUUUUCUCCCCUCUUAAAAUGUUGCGAACUUGCGAUUAUAAAAAAGGUCUUUAUAGCCAUAAACUCAUGUGUUUGUCUAUUUUUUUUCAUUUUUUAGAUUUUCUAGACCCAACAACUAUUCUUGAGUUCAAUAACCCAAUUAAUGAACUGAUUAGAAUAAAGUAUAUUUAAAGUAUUUCCACUAAUUAAAUCUACUCAAAUGUUCUUAUAUUUAAUCUAUUUCUCAUUAGAGAUAUCGAAAAAAUGUCAACAAUUUUCCACGCGUCCAAAAUAUGGACUUGCAAAAGAUUUAAAAAUUACGAAAUACAUAGAUGAUUCUCUAACUAUUUUCCAGUAAUGCACAUUGUCUUUUUCCCAUUAAUUGCUCUUUCAUUCCCUCUUCUUCAACUUCGUGUCCUUCGUGCUAGUAAACAUUAAUAAGAAAAGAAGCAAACUAAAGAGAAAAGAUGAAAGUGUAUGAGAAGCUUAGUAAAAAUAAGAAUAGAAUACCUGUGGUUACAAAAUUAAAUAUAGGUUGUUAGCAAAAAGUUUUCUAUUAGAGAAAAAAUAGAAGGAAAGAAUUUGAAUUAGCCGAAAAAAGCACCUGAAUCGAAAAGAGUGACCAAAUAUUUUAUAUUAAAAAAUAGAUAUAUACAUAUACAAAUAGUUGAUAAGUUUUGUAAAUUUUGGAGAGUAAAUAUAUACAUGAAAUAGAUACAUACACAAAGCUUCUAGACUCAAAAGCAGCAUACAUCCUCAAUCGUGUCUCUAAAAAACUAAGAAAAACAUGAAAUUACCAAACAUUCGAUUAAGAAAAUAAUAUCAAGCGAAUCAGAUCAUGAUAGCAAGACAACCUUAAAAAUUAUAGCAAAUUAUUUGUACGUAUAAAUUAUAUAAAUUACAGAAGAAACAUUUAUAUAUCAGCAAACUCUUUUAUUUUCUGAAAGUUGGUACAUCAACGGUUAACUAAUUAAAAUAAAUCGCAAGAAGAAGCAUUUAACACUAAGAUUAUCUAAAAUAUUUAAUUCAAGUGAGUCACAAGAAGCAUUAUUACAUCUCAGCAAGAUUAUACAAAUAAAUCACUAAAAUUAAUUGUAAACUACCAUCAGCCAAGUAAUGAAAUACAAAAGUAGACACAAAAUCCACGAUCGACUAUAUAUUAAAAUAUUUUAAAUCGGUAGUCAUUGAAUAAAAUUAUAUGCAUAUAAAAAAAAGAAUAAAACAAAAUAGACUUAUUUAAUAAAGAUUUAUCACAAUAGAGUUUUUCUACCUACUGUUGGAAAAGGUGUCUCUCCAAAAUUCCGCUUCACUGCCGCAUCAAUAUUUACUUUUUUAAAAGAAAAUUCUAUUACUGAAAUAAUUUUAUUGAAUAUUUUUAAAAAUAAGUAAUAAUAAGGAUUAAAUAGAGUAAUUAUAUAUAAGUUAUAUUUUAAUAUUUAUGUAAAAUAUUAAAAAGUAUUUUAAUGAAACAAAAAUAAUAUUAUAUACGAAGAAAAAUUUAUUUAAUACACACCUCAUGUAAAAGAAGGUGAUAUGGAUAGAUCGACUAUACUUUAUUAAAGUCUAUAUAAAAAAUAGAUAGAUGGGCAUUAUUAUAGAAAAUAAAAUUGUUGGGCGUGAAUCUCUUGAUUAUGAUGAAAAAUUAAAAUGGCCGAAUUAAAUAAUUCGAGCUGAUAUAAUAAAUUAUAAAAUAAAAUUAUUUGCUAAAGAAUUAAUUUGGACCAAAAAGAAAGAAUACAACCAUAAACGAUAAACUCAACAAUUAAAAAAAAAGGAAUAAUUAAAUAAUCUAACAAUUAAUUUAAGUAUAAACUAUGUAUAACAAUAAGAAAGAAUCCCUAAUCUAAAUCCAUCUAUACGCCCAAAUUUUAGGCGGCACCCCCUUCUUCUUCUUCUUCUUCUUCACUCCGAAUUCUCGUGUGGAGGAAUUAAAUGUGACAAUCAUUUAUGAUAUUUUGACAGGACCAAAUUGAAGCAGAUAGAGGUGGAUUUAAAAAGGUGUUGUGAGACACUGAGAGAAGAGAAUAGGAGGUUGCAAAAAGAGCUUCAGGGAUUAAGGCGUCUCAGCCAUUUUACCUGCAGCUUCCGGCCACCACCCUCCAACCAUUUUUCAUGCUUCUUCCCAGAAGACACCUUCUUGAUCAUAGCAUCGCAUCUCUCUUGCCUAUCGCUCAUUCCUGCCUUCUACAUCAGCAACUGCAACACUGAAGUCUGCCACUCUGCCUCCGUGGCUCCUCCAUGGGGCAUAUCGCUCAUUGUGUAAUUUUUCCUAAAAUAAGUUAGAGAAGUAUGAAAUGGUAAAUGAAUGUGAUUUGGUAUUUAUAAAUUGUCAAUCCGGAUGUUUUGUUUGUAGCAGUUUGUUACCACUUUUUAGUAGUGGGUUGCUGCAGUUAUUUGCUAAUUGGCGUGGGUUGUUCAUUCAAGAAACAUGGUGGUUAUGGAAUGCAGAAGGGAUAAAAAUACGAUGGAAACUUGGUAUAAUGCGGCGUGGAAAAACUGAAUAAGAAAGAGAAGAUUUAGCGGUGUAAUAGAUAUAUAGAUUUGCCCUUUGUAUGUUAUUUUAUUUUCUAAAUUGCCACAAACUGUGUUUUCAUAUAAUAGAUAGAUU